rnacentral:rRNA from 1 species
CGGGGUCAACUCGGAGGAAGGUGGGGAUGACGUCAAAUCAUCAUGCCCCUUAUGUCUUGGGCUUCACGCAUGCUACAAUGGCCGGUACAAAGGGCUGCGAAACCGCAAGGUGGAGCGAAUCCCAAAAAGCCGGUCUCAGUUCGGAUUGGGGUCUGCAACUCGACCCCAUGAAGUCGGAAUCGCUAGUAAUCGCGGAUCAGCAUGCCGCGGUGAAUACGUUCCCGGGUCUUGUACACACCGCCCGUCACACCAUGGGAGCGGGUU